UACAGAGAGGGCAAGCGUUGUUCGGAAUUACUGGGCGUAAAGCGCACGUAGGCGGACUUUUAAGUCAGGUGUGAAAUCCCGGGGCUCAACCUCGGAACUGCAUUUGAAACUGGAAGUCUUGAGAUCAGGAGAGGUUAGCGGAAUACCGAGUGUAGAGGUGAAAUUCGUAGAUAUUCGGUGGAACACCAGUGGCGAAGGCGGCUAACUGGACUGAUACUGACGCUGAGGUGCGAAAGUGUGGGGAGCAAACAGG
rnacentral:rRNA from 1 species